AUCCAUUCCUCAUGCACAGAUUUAUGAAGACAUGUUUAAGACCUCCCCCGUGGCAGGGGAAGGUGAACCCAGAACUGCUGACCCUGAGGACAAGCCAAACAGAGACAUGUGCAAUAGUUCCUAGAAGC